AUGAUGGGAGGCGACUGGCGUAGGUGGGUUGACCACCGGGAAGCUGAACUAGGACGCAUCGACCGCCUGGGUGCUCCUC
rnacentral:ncRNA from 2 species